AUUGAACGCUGGCGGCAUGCCUUACACAUGCAAGUCGAACGGUAACAGGUCUUCGGAUGCUGACGAGUGGCGAACGGGUGAGUAAUACAUCGGAACGUGCCUAGUAGUGGGGAUAACUACUCGAAAGAGUGGCUAAUACCGCAUGAGAUCUACGGAUGAAAGCAGGGGAUCGCAAGACCUUGUGCUACUAGAGCGGCCGAUGGCAGAUUAGGUAGUUGGUGGGAUAAAAGCUUACCAAGCCGACGAUCUGUAGCUGGUCUGAGAGGACGAUCAGCCAAACUGGGACUGAGACACGGCCCAGACUCCUACGGGGGGCAGCAGUGGGGAAUUUUGGACAAUGGGCGAAAGCCUGAUUCAGCAAUGCCGCGUGCAGGAUGAAGGCCUUCGGGUUGUAAACUGCUUUUGUACGGAACGAAAAGCCCCGGGUUAAUACCCUGGGGUCAUGACGGUACCGUAAGAAUAAGCACCGGCUAACUACGUGCCAGCCGCCGCAGUAA
rnacentral:rRNA from 1 species